UUACCGCUUUCGUUCGCUUUGGAAAUAAACGCUUUAAUCGAUUAAAUAUUGAAUUUAAUCGUUUGAGAACUUACGUCACGGACACGAAUACGGUCUACGUGUUCAAUCAGUGUCAACAACGUCAGUUUCUCUCAUCAUUAUACAUUAAUUCACGUGAAGUAGUAUUAGUUUUUGAAAUUUUCACUUGCUUUCUAUCUUGUAAAAAUGGAUCAAGUAAUGUCUUUUAUUGACCCUGGACGACAGUUCGCCAAAGACUCCCUGCGACUCGUAAAAAGAUGUACAAAGCCUGACAGGAAAGGCAAGCAGCCAACUCAUUAUCAUGUUCUGCUGGAAUAUAAGUAAGAGUUCCCACAUGGGUUACUUUUGCUGGACUUUUUAACUUCAUUAAGUGAGAGUGUAAAGUUACGUAAGGUAAAUCAACAGCUCUGACAGCAGCUCUCAC